rnacentral:rRNA from 1 species
UGGGGAAUUUUGGACAAUGGGCGAAAGCCUGAUCCAGCAAUGCCGCGUGUGUGAAGAAGGCCUUCGGGUUGUAAAGCACUUUUGUCCGGAAAGAAAUCCUUGGCUCUAAUACAGUCGGGGGAUGACGGUACCGGAAGAAUAAGCACCGGCUAACUACGUGCCAGCAGCCGCGGUAAUACGUAGGGUGCAAGCGUUAAUCGGAAUUACUGGGCGUAAAGCGUGCGCAGGCGGUUUGCUAAGACCGAUGUGAAAUCCCCGGGCUCAACCUGGGAACUGCAUUGGUGACUGGCAGGCUAGAGUAUGGCAGAGGGGGGUAGAAUUCCACGUGUAGCAGUGAAAUGCGUAGAGAUGUGGAGGAAUACCGAUGGCGAAGGCAGCCCCCUGGGCCAAUACUGACGCUCAUGCACGAAAGCGUGGGGAGCAAACAGGAUUAGAUACCCUGGUAGUCCACGCCCUAAACGAUGUCAACUAGUUGUUGGGGAUUCAUUUCCUUAGUAACGUAGCUAACGCGUGAAGUUGACCGCCUGGGGGAGUACGGUCGCAAGAUUAAAACUCAAAGGAAUUGACGGGGUC